UUGUAUUUCCUUCAAUGCUUUGUUUUUAUUUCUGUAAUGCUUCAGGGAAAUGUAAAGACAAGGUCCUGGACAGUAACAGGAUUAUUGUCUUUCUGUCUGAGACACUGUCAUCAUAGAGAUCUAGUAGUUUAUUUAGAUUAGGGUUGGGGUCAAUUCCUUUACAAAUCAGGAAGUAAACUGAAAGUCCAAUUCCAAUUUUCCUCAAUGCCUCUAUGAGAAAAUGUCAGUUUACUUCCUGAAUUGACAGUAUUGACAUUGAAUUGACCCCAACACUGAUUUAGAGAUAAGAGAGAGACUGUAGUCCUCUUGGGGGAGUAGAGGAGAAGGGGAGGGGAGGCAGGGAGCAGUGUUCCUCUUGGGGGAGUACAGAUGAGGGGAGACAGAGGACAGCCCAGUCUGAUGUAUCAGAGAUGAGGGGAGACAGAGGACAGCCCAGUCUGGUGUAUCAGAGAUGAGGGGAGACAGAGGACAGCCCAGUCUGGUGUAUCAGAGAUGAGGGGAGACAGAGGACAGCCCAGUCUGAUGUAUCAGAGAUGAGGGGAGACAGAGGACAGCCCAGUCUGGUGUAUCAGAGAUGAGGGGAGACAGAGGACAGCCCAGUCUGGUGUAUCAGAGAUGAGGGGAGACAGAGGACAGCCCAGUCUGGUGUAUCAGAGAUGAGGGGAGACAGAGGACAGCCCAGUCUGAUGUAUCAGAGAUGAGGGGAGACAGAGGACAGCCCAGUCUGAUGUAUCAGAGAUGAGGGGAGACAGAGGACAGCCCAGUCUGAUUACUGGAGGUUCUCUUGCUACAGAGAUGGUCUAUAGAAGCCUUUUAGAGGGGGGUGGGGUUAGUAGUCUUUUGGCAGCAUCACCCUGCGCCCACCCAUGAAAUAACACAAGGUGAUCUUCCUUCUGAAAGGAAUGUUGUCCAGGGCCUCCACUGCCACCCUCUUGUUGCCCCUGCCGCUGCUCUCCUCCUGGUCGUACAUGGGGCACAUGAAGGCUGUGCGCCUCAGGGCGUAGAUGUCCACCUCGUCCUCGUCG
rnacentral:lncRNA from 1 species